rnacentral:rRNA from 1 species
GCGGCAACAGCUCAAAUUUGAAAUCCGGCGCCUGCGGCGUCCGAGUUGUAAUUUGCAGAGGAUGCUUCGGGGAGCGGCGCCGGCCUAAGUUCCUUGGAACAGGGCGUCAUAGAGGGUGAGAAUCCCGUAUGCGGCCGGCGAGCGACCCCCGCGCGAAGCCCCUUCGACGAGUCGAGUUGUUUGGGAAUGCAGCUCAAAAUGGGUGGUAAAUUUCAUCUAAAGCUAAAUACCGGCCAGAGACCGAUAGCGCACAAGUAGAGUGAUCGAAAGAUGAAAAGCACUUUGGAAAGAGAGUCAAACAGUACGUGAAAUUGUUGAAAGGGAAGCGCUUGCGACCAGACCUGUUUCCGGGCGAUCAGCCGCGGCUCGCUCGCGGUGCACGCGCCCGUGAUCAGGCCAGCAUCGGUUCGGGCGGUUGGACAAAGGCCCCGGGAAUGUAGCUCCCCCCCCCCGGGGAGUCUUAUAGCCCGGGGCGCAAUGCUUCCAGCCCGGACCGAGGACCGCGCUUCGGCGAGGAUGCUGGCGUAAUGGUCGUAAGCGACCCGUCUUGAAACACGGACCAAGGAGUCUAACAUCUAUGCGAGUGUUUGGGUGUCAAACCCGUGCGCGGAAUGAAAGUGAACGGAGGUGGGAACCUCCCGCGAGGGGGGCGCACCAUCGACCGAUCCAGAUGUCUUCGGACGGAUUUGAGUGGGAGCAUAGCUGUUGGGACCCGAAAGAUGGUGAACUAUGCCUGGAUAGGGUGAAGCCAGAGGAAACUCUGGUGGAGGCUCGCAGCGGUUCUGACGUGCAAAUCGAUCGUCAAAUCUGGGCAUAGGGGCGAAAGACUAAUCGAACCGUCUAGUAGCUGGUUCCUGUCGAAGUUUCCCUCAGGAUAGCAGUAACGAAAUUCAGUUUUAUGAGGUAAAGCGAAUGAUUAGAGGCCUGGGGGAAGCAACUUCCUUCACCUAUUCUCAAACUUUAAAUAUGUAAGAAGUCCUUGUUACUUAGCUGAACGUGGACAUUUGAAUGUACCGUUACUAGUGGGCCAUUUUUGGUAAGCAGAACUGGCGAUGCGGGAUGAACCGAACGCGAGGUUAAGGUGCCGGAAUGCACGCUCAUCAGACACCACAAAAGGUGUUAGUUCAUCUAGACAGCAGGACGGUGGCCAUGGAAGUCGGAAACCGCUAAGGAGUGUGUAACAACUCACCUGCCGAAUGAACUAGCCCUGAAAAUGGAUGGCGCUCAAGCGUGCUACCCAUACCUCGCCGCCA